GGCCGACUGGCGCAAUGGUAGCGCUUCAGACUUCUACUGAACAGUAAUCUGGAGGUUGUGGGUUCGAGCCCCACGUUGGUCA
rnacentral:tRNA from 1 species